rnacentral:rRNA from 1 species
UGGGGAAUAUUGCACAAUGGGCGCAAGCCUGAUGCAGCCAUGCCGCGUGUAUGAAGAAGGCCUUCGGGUUGUAAAGUACUUUCAGCGGGGAGGAAGGCGAUAAGGUUAAUAACCUUGUCGAUUGACGUUACCCGCAGAAGAAGCACCGGCUAACUCCGUGCCAGCAGCCGCGGUAAUACGGAGGGUGCAAGCGUUAAUCGGAAUUACUGGGCGUAAAGCGCACGCAGGCGGUCUGUGAAGUCGGAUGUGAAAUCCCCGGGCUCAACCUGGGAACUGCAUUCGAAACUGGCAGGCUAGAGUCUUGUAGAGGGGGGUAGAAUUCCAGGUGUAGCGGUGAAAUGCGUAGAGAUCUGGAGGAAUACCGGUGGCGAAGGCGGCCCCCUGGACAAAGACUGACGCUCAGGUGCGAAAGCGUGGGGAGCAAACA